CGGAAGUGACGUUGGGUGGGAGAGAAGAAGCCGAGCUGCAAACGCGCGCGGGCGGCUCCGGCUCUGCCUGGCUCGCGCGGGGCCGUUGGAGCCUCUCCCGGGGCCGGGGAAGGGUGUGUGACUGAGAUCAGGGCUCUUAUCGUACUGAGCGUGGCUUUGUUCUGACAUCUGCUGCAGAGACCCCAAGUGAAAUCUGGGCCCUGCUUUGCCAGGCACUGAAGAGACCACAGGCUGUGGAAUAAUGUCCAUGUUUCUCUCCAGUUCAUCCCAUCCUCUCAUUGGACAGGGGAGAGAAAUGGCUGCAGAGGAGCCAGUUCAGGGGCCGGUGACCUUCGAGGAGGUGGCUGUGUAUUUCACCAG